rnacentral:rRNA from 1 species
ACGCUGGCGGCAUGCCUAACACAUGCAAGUCGAACGAGAUUUUCGGAUCUAGUGGCGCACGGGUGAGUAACGCGUGGGAACCUACCUUUUAGUACGGGACAACGUUUGGAAACGAACGCUAAUACCGCAUACGCCCUCCGGGGGAAAGGUCAGCCGCUGAAAGAGGGGCCCGCGUCUGAUUAGCUUGUUGGUAGGGUAAUGGCUUACCAAGGCAACGAUCAGUAGCUGGUCUGAGAGGAUGAUCAGCCACACUGGGACUGAGACACGGCCCAGACUCCUACGGGAGGCAGCAGUGGGGAAUAUUGGACAAUGGAGGCAACUCUGAUCCAGCAAUGCCGCGUGUGUGAUGAAGGCCCUAGGGUUGUAAAGCACUUUCAACGGUGAAGAUGAUGACGGUAGCCGUAGAAGAAGCCCCGGCUAACU